rnacentral:rRNA from 3 species
GAGUGGACGCAUCACUGGUGUUCGGGUUGUCAUGCCAAUGGCACUGCCCGGUAGCUAAAUGCGGAAGAGAUAAGUGCUGAAAGCAUCUAAGCACGAAACUUGCCCCGAGAUGAGUUCUCCCUGAGACCUUGAGUCUCCUGAAGGAACGUUGAAGACGACGACGUUGAUAGGUCGGGUGUGUAAGCGCAGCGAUGCGUUGAGCUAACCGAUACUAAUGAACCGUGAGGCUUAACCUU